UACGUAGGGGUGCAACGUUGUCCGGAAUUAUUGGCGUAAAGAGCUCGUGAGCGGUCUGUCGCGUCUGCUGUGAAAACUCAGGGCUUAACCCUGAGCUUGCAGUGGGUACGGGCAGACUAGAGUGCGGUAGGGGAGACUGGAAUUCCUGGUGUAGCGGUGAAAUGCGCAGAUAUCAGGAGGAACACCGGUGGCGAAGGCGGGUCUCUGGGCCGUAACUGACGCUGGAGGAG
rnacentral:rRNA from 1 species